rnacentral:rRNA from 1 species
AUUAGUUAUGUUCUUUAAACCUAAAGAAUUUGGCGGUGUUUUAAUUCUGUUCAGAGGAACUUGCCCCGUUAUCGAUAGUCCUCGUUUUAUCUUUCUUGAUCUUGUUUUAAUUAAUGUUCAGUAUGUAUACCGCCGUUAUAAGCUUAUUUUUUGAGAAUUUAAUUUGCUAGAUUUUUUAUUAAAAUUUAUUUCAGGUCAAGGUGCAGCUUAUGAUUAAGGGGAGGUGAGUUACAAUAUUUUUGAAUAAAUGGAUUUUUUAUUUAAAUUUUUUAUGAAGGUGGAUUUGAUGGUAAUUUUAUUUAUAGUAUUAUUUUGACCCUAGCGCUAAAACAAGUACACAUCGCCCGUCGCU